GGGCAACACGAGCGGGGCGCAUAUGGCUUAUUUUGUUGAACGCGAGGACGCUACCUGGUCUCGACAUCCCCCGGAAGUUUUCAGAGAUGGGAAUGUGCCUUCGGGAACUGUGAGACAGGUGCUGCAUGGCUGUCGUCAGCUCGUGUUGUGAAAUGUUGGGUUAAGUCCCGCAACGAGCGCAACCCUUAUCCUUUGUUGCCAGCGGUCCGGCCGGGAACUCAAAGGAGACUGCCAGUGAUAAACUGGAGGAAGGUGGGGAUGACGUCAAGUCAUCAUGGCCCUUACGACCAGGGCUACACACGUGCUACAAUGGCGCAUACAAAGAGAAGCGACCUCGCGAGAGCAAGCGGACCUCAUAAAGUGCGUCGUAGUCCGGAUUGGAGUCUGCAACUCGACUCCAUGAAGUCGGAAUCGCUAGUAAUCGUGGAUCAGAAUGCCACGGUGAAUACGUUCCCGGGCCUUGUACACACCGCCCGUCACACCAUGGGAGUGGGUUGCAAAAGAAGUAGGUAGCUAACCUUCGGAGGGCGCUUACCAC
rnacentral:rRNA from 1 species